CAGGCUUCAUAAGCUGUUAGAUGUAAAAGCCUGUUGUUUAGUUGUCUGAAUGUGUGAGAGAGGGAGCUGGCAUUUAUGGGGUUAACUCAGCCGUACAGCGCAGAGAGAGACGGGCGCGUCUCAGUACUGCGGCUGCGCACAGCGCUCUGAGAGACAGUUGGAAGGAGGACACAUGUUCCGGUUGCACGAGAGGCUCUCUGCUUCGGAAAAAGAAAAAAAGUUAAUACAUAAACUUAGCGGUUGAAAAAAACCUUGCAGGCAAAUUCCAGGAUUCAUAUUUGAUGUUGCCUACUCGGCGGUCAGGUUUUUGUUCUGAGAUAAGACUUGGUGACUCUUGACGCGGAGGAAGAGGCAUCAGCGACACUAGUGGUCCACGAGAAAAAGGAUACAAACAUUGGAACAACAUCGGGCUGAUUCCAAGCAUCUGUUGGAGUGACGGGAUCCAUAGAACUAGAUGGCGAGCCAGAACUGAAGGAAUAAAAACUGAACGACUCUCCUAAACCUGCGGUGUGGUAGGACAGAGUGAAACGCAUUAAAGGGCCCCAACGAUACCAAACGAGAACUAAACUGAGCUCAUAUUUUUUUUCUAAUUUUCUUUAUUUCAUAUUGUGCGCACUUUAUUUCUUCAUAUUGUUGUCAUAUUGUUAAUAUUGUUUACAUUCAUGAUUAACAAUACAUUUUUGAACGUAA